rnacentral:rRNA from 1 species
ACGCUCGACACCUACUGGAGGCAGCAGUCGGGAAUAUUGCGCAAUGGAGGAAACUCUGACGCAGUGACGCCGCGUAUAGGAAGAAGGUUUUCGGAUUGUAAACUAUUGUCGUUAGGGAAGAAAAGGACAGUACCUAAGGAGGAAGCUCCGGCUAACUACGUGUCAGCAGCCGCGGUAAUCUGAGCGGGCUGGCAAGGC